CAGAUACUUAACCUCCAGAGUAAGGCCAGGGAUCGAACCUGCAUCCUCAUGCGUACUAGUUUUGAUUUGCUACUGCUGAGCCACAAUGGGAAUGCCCCUAAUGCUUUCAAUGUGGCACCCACCACCACCUGUCUACUGCAACACCCCUUCUAAAGGCCUUUCCUACUUCCAUGCCCUUUCUAGACUUCUCUCUUUUUAUUCUCUCCAGGUGACAUCUGAGAUGGCUGCCCAGCCCUUUUAAACUCUCUAUGACGUGGUUUCCAUGACUGGUUUUAAGAGUUGCAGAAACUGUUGCACCGCCUGUUUCUACAUGGCCUGGGAGCUACCCAUGGUUUGAAAGGAUAAGCAUUUGCAAUCACCUUGAUGAGAGAGAAUGGAACCUUAGAACCCCAAUUAAGCAAAAGCGGAAACCUGACGCGAAUCACUGCAGCUUCAGAACUGACCCCUGCUCCCGGGUCGUCAGUGUGAAAUAUCUGGGGUCUAUUCCAUCACUGAUUUUCGUGAAAAAGCAAUUUUCAGAAGAACCAGAUGGAAGUGUGAUUUCGAGGACAUUAAUAUUGAUUGCAGCAUUUGGGGACGCCUCCUGUUGCGUUAGCAGAGCUGGGACGUCUGCACACGUCAGCACACCACGAAGCACACUCGAUGCAAAUAGCUGGUUAGGAUAAUUAGUGGGCUCCAAUCAGGACCAUGAAAGUCACUUGAUGAAAGAUCUUAUAUCCUGAAAGGCCCAGUGAAAUCAGACUCAGCUCUCCAAGAAGUGGUUUAAUUAUCCUCAUCGGAAAUUUAUUCUGCAAAACAAGCUCUCUUCAGGGUACAGACAAGCCUUUCACCUUUCGCUCCACUUGCAAACUUUUCCCCCACGGGGCAAGGUGGGCUGUCAUUUCUGAAAUCCCAGGAACUUGCCAGGACCAAGCCGCGUUAUUUCCCCCCCUCUGGUGGGCUGGUUUCAAGAGCGGGCCUGCUCCCAUUUUCGCGGCCAUACCCGCUUGUGGAGCAUAGGAAAAGCGGACUCUCAGCGCGGCCGCAGGAGGACAGCAAUCAGCUCAUCAUAAUGACCUCACGGGGCUGGCACCUCCGGUUUUGAAUCUCAAAGUCCAACACACUCCCAGAGGAGUGAGUGAGUGACCUAACAUCUGUCUGGCAUUUUGCAAUGCCCUGGAAGCUACACAGGCCAGGCCCCAGACGACGGAUGCUAGGGCUGGGGGGUCUCAAAGUGUGACCGCAGGACCAGCGGCAUCAGCACCGCCUGGGAACUCGUUAAGAAAUGCCAAGUCUUAGGACCGGCCCCAGACCUCCAGAGUCAAGACCCCUUUCCAGAGCCCAGGUUGAGACCGCAGACACACAGCCAUGAGUGGGUAUUGCAUUUGACCCCGUUCACCUACACGAGCACCAGCUUUAUUCUGGCCACACCAAGGAGUACUGGGAACUCGCUCCUUUUCCCAGCUGAGUCAGUGUCCACACAGAGCUGUGCACCGCCUCUCCCUGGGUUUGGAAGUUUGAUAUACGGUCAGGAAAGGAUUCACUGCGAACAACUGCCUUGGUGCAAUUUAGCCAGGUGGUCUCAUGCACUUGGCAAUGAUGAUGAUGAUAAUAAAUAAAUAAAACUGUCCUUUUCUUUCACGAUUUGCUCAAUAGGGGCCCUGAGCCUUCUCAAUUCUAAAUCAUGACCAGCGCUGGGGGAUCUGGGGGCAGAAGCAACAGAAGCGCCACAGACCCUCAAGCCAGUGAUGCCUUGAACAAUAGCCAGGGCUAGCACCAGGCUGCUGCUUGUACUUGUUAUCUGAGCUCAUUCCCACAUUUUGGCAUUGCAUUUUGCAGUUGAAAUAUCUUUUUUUUUUUUGCUUGAAAAUGACUUCAUCUCCCGAGAUGAUGGAUUUAUUGUUUGUAUAUUUGUUGUGACAGCCAGAGCCAUCAUCUGUCUUAAGGUGCAACCACUGAACUCCAAGGCUCCCCAUGGCCAGUGGGCUCCCAGGGGUGUGGACGUGCCACCAGGGCCCAGGGUGGCUGCAGUGACUUCUCUCACUGCUGAGGAGUUUCAGGGCUGGCAUCUCCUUUACCACAAGACUGGCCGCAGCCACAGCCGCAAGCCGUGUCACCUGGCGGGUCCCCUGGGUAGGGUGGGGUGGAAGGCAUCACCCCCUGACAGUGCUGGUGUGACACAGGCCGUUUGUUCAGUCCAGAGAAUAAUCCGGGGAUGGCACAAUGGUACCUUCUCUCCCUGGAAUCGAAUCAAACGGAAGCUCUCGGCUGAGCCCGGCAGGACAGGUGGGGGGCGGGGGCGGGGCUGGCGGGGAUGAGCAAGGUUAAGUCUUUGGCAGCAACAACCUUGACAUUGAAUAGCAUGCCUUCCAUGUCUCAUUAGUGGUUUCAUCGCCCAGGACAUAUAGAUUAUACAA